AUAUGACAUAGAGGUCGCAACCAACAUGAGUGAUUAACCAAGUCGGCAGACAAGGCGGUUGAUUUAAAGGGGCGGUUGCCGAAAUGUGUUUUCACGGCGGUGAAACAUGUUGGUCCUUACGUGAACAACGGGAGGACUGUCGCAGCAAAAUUUGUCGGCUGCGGAGCGCUAUCGACAAC
rfam:Weissella confusa LBAE C39-2, WGS project CAGH01000000 data, contig: WeissC39_1_contig00007